rnacentral:tRNA from 1 species
GCCCAAGUAGCUCAGUUGGUAGAGCACGAUCAUGGUAAGAUCGGGGUCCGCGGUUCGAUUCCGCGCUUGGGCU